rnacentral:rRNA from 1 species
UGGGUUCUAUUCAGGCAAACCAAUUAAACUGUGUUUUCUCGGCGAUGGGCCAGAUAGGAAAAAAUGCGUUGAAAUAGUUAAGUACACGGAAAAUAAAAACAUAGAAGUAACAUUCGAGCAGUGGGUCCCAAUCGAUAAACUUGGCGACCGAAUUAGACAAGCAACUAUUUGCCUGGGGGUAUUUGGUACUGGCGAGAAAACAAAAAGAGUGAUCCCAAAUAAGGCCUACCAGAGCCUUGCUUGUAACCGGCCACUCAUUACAGUUUAUUGCGAUGCAUACCCACAAGAACUACCCUCUUCAAACUGUGGUAUUUACUGGGUUAAUCCUGGCCAGCCCCAAGAGAUCGCCGAGGCUAUCAAACUUGCUAUUGAUGAGAGCGAAUCUACAAUUCUCGAUGACCUUGCGGUUAACACCUAUCGGACAUAUUUCUCAAACCAAAAAAUAAAAGAUUUGUUGCAACAACUUCUACCGUACGUCCGUUAAAGCUUGAUAGCCAAGUCUAAUUAACCAUAUAUUUCAGGCAAUAAAAAACCCCGCUAUUGCGGGGUUUUUUAUUUUCUAAUAGCUGCUAAUUACUUACCAGCAUAUUUUUCCGGCCUCACCAAGUAGCGAGCAAGUGCCGGUAGCAACCACAAUGCACCAACCAUAUUCCAAACUGGUUUAAUUCGAAGAUACGCGAAGAACCUUACCAAGCCUUGACAUUGAUUGAAUCCCGUAGAGAUACAGGAGUGCCUUUCGAGGAACAUGAAAACAGGUGCUGCACGGCUGUCGUCAGCUCGUGUCGUGAGAUGUUGGGUUAAGUCCCGCAACGAGCGCAACCCUCGUCGUUAGUUGCUAACAGUUCGGCUGAGCACUCUAGCGAGACUGCCUUCGCAAGGAGGAGGAAGGUGAGGACGACGUCAAGUCAUCAUGGCCCUUAUGGCUUGGGCUACACACGUGCUACAAUGGGGCGUACAGAGAGUUGCGAUACCGCGAGGUGGAGCUAAUCUCAUAAAGCGUCUCUCAGUUCGGAUUGGACUCUGCAACUCGASUMCWUGAAGYUGGAAUCRCUAGUAAUCGUAGAUCAGCAAUGCUACGGUGAAUACGUUCCCGGGUCUUGUACUCACCGCCCGUCACACCAUGGGAGUUGAACUCAUUCGAAGCGGGGAUGCUAAAGUAGCUACCCUCCACAGUGGAUUUAGCGACUGGGGUGAAGUCGUAACAAGGUAACCGUAGGAGAACCUGCGGUUG